GCAAGACUGCAAGAUCCCAGAGGCAGCCCCAAGGUCUCCUGAAAAGAAGACUAUGGGGCGAAAAUGACACCAUCUAAAUUGCAGCAAUGCUAGUCACUGGCAAAGAACUGCUCUGUGCCUCAUUUACCAACACGACCCUGCCCAAAUUGCGGACAAGCAGGACACUGGAGAAUUGACUUCUUGAUGUCUUCCAAGGCAGGAUAGUCUCUUAAAUUCUUAAUCCACAAGAAAGUCUCUCAGAUCCUUCAGUCUGGCAGCUGAUGUUUAGUGCUGUUCUGCGUGAUAAUAAAAACUUGCUGCUGUCCUGUGUGACUGCGGAAGCCUGAUGACCUCUGCUCCCAAGGCCACCCUGGAGGAGCCUCGGGUAACUGUCUAGGAAUGUAGACUUCAGAAGACGGAGGACUUCACAACUCAUAGUCACACAAUCCAGGAAAUAGGGCUGGCGCUCAGGUCCAGUCUGAUUUAAGGCUCCAAUGCAUUGCUGCUGGAGCAGAUUAAAGAUUUAAUCACCACCCUAAGAAAGAACUUAAGAGAUGUAGAUUGUCAGCAAUGACCACCGCCCUUAGAAAACAUUUGGAAAAAUAAAUUGUUAAUGAAGUUAGGCUAAGAUGUUUUUUUUGCUAGUGGCUUUGAUAUAGAAAAUUUUAUGGACCAAUUUCAAGUUCAGAAAAACACACUCUUAACAACUAAGCUAGGGAUUUUUUUAAGGUCAGGGAACAAAAUCAAUGGCAGCACUGGAUGAUGUAACUCUGCUGAAGCUGGGCUGGUGAUCAAGGUAAUGAGUUUCUUAUACCCAUUUUUGCCCUCAGCUUCCUGGUAUGAUUUGAGUGGAUGCAUAUUCUGAGGAUUUAAAGUCGAAAUGAUUGAUUGCUUUUUAUAUAAAAGUUUAAACUUGUGAUUAUUUUAAGAUGAUUAUAAGAUUACCAUUACAGAUAAAUAAUAAAACAAUUGAUCCUUUCUUUAUAACCACAAAUUGCUGCCUGCCAGUAAGAAAAGCUGGUUGAGAAAACUACCUCGCUUGCUCACAAUUUGUUAAUCUAUAACAAGUUGCUUAGUUACAAAUGUACUUGGGUUCUUUGGAAUAUUUUUUUUUUACCUGUACUAUAUAAUGCUUUUUUUAAUGUGAAGGUAUUGGGGAACACAUUGUUUUUUUCAUAGUCAUUCAUUAGAAGAAAAAUAGAAUGUAGUCACAUUAUAAUUCUAUACUGCUUGAAAAAAUUUUGCUGGGAUAUGUAAGCUGUGGGAGGCAAACAAAAGGUGUCAGAGCCUACUCAUUUGAGUUUGCUCUAUCCACUAAUAUGUAUGUGUGUAUAUAUGUAUGCAUAUAAAAUGGUCGGAGCUGCUUGUUGGAGCCUGCUCUAUUCAUCUAAUAUAUCUCUGUGUCUGCUGCCUAUGUGUGAAAUUGUUGGAUCUUGUCUUGCUUUAUUUACUCAAUGUGUCUCUGUGUGUGUAUGUAUGUGCAUGAUUGCCCCCUCCGUUUGUCUUCUCCUUCUCGCCAGUUCCCAAAGGAUUUAAAGACAGGAGAACCAGUCCCAGUAAAUCAAGCUGUAUUACCUCAGAGAAAAAUCAGCUGAGUGACUCUAGUUACUGGCUGCCAUCCUCAGGAGUCCCCGUCUCACCCAAUUCCCCAGUCUGCUGCUGUCUGAACCAGCCUUCUAUUAGCUCCACCAGUAGUGGCCUCCAUUGGCUGCUAUUAGCACCGA